rnacentral:rRNA from 1 species
GUGGAGCAUGUGGCUUAAUUUGACUCAACGCGGGGAAUCUUACUAGGUCCGGACCGAUUCUAUGAUCGUCGUACUGUGGGGUGCUACGUGAUUACUGGAUGAGUGGUGCAUGGCCGUUCUUAGUUCGUGGUGUUAAUUGUCUACUUAAUUGUCAUCAGUUUAAUACAUGUAUUGAACUAUGAACGAACGAGAUCGAGACCCGUGGUUGCGUGUGUUUGAAUUCGGUAUUACUACGGGGAUCGCGUAUUACUCCACGGUACGAUCGAAAGACUCGGCAAUAACAGGUCUGUGAUGCCCUCAGAUGUUCUAGGCUGCACACGUGCUACAGUGUGGUUCUGUUCAUAUGUGUAUGCGUAGACUUGAGAUCCCCCGCACCGAGUCAUAACUGGUCACACGGUUGGACUCACCGAUUGUCAAUUAUUCGGUAUCUUAA